rnacentral:rRNA from 1 species
UACGGGGGGAGCAAGCGUUGUUCGGAUUUACUGGGCGUAAAGGGCGCGUAGGCGGCCAGUGCAAGUCAGUUGUGAAAUCUCCGAGCUUAACUCGGAAAGGUCAACUGAUACUGCUCGGCUAGAGUGCGGAAGGGGCAACUGGAAUUCUUGGUGUAGCGGUGAAAUGCGUAGAUAUCAAGAGGAACACCUGCGGCGAAGGCGGGUUGCUGGGCCGACACUGACGCUGAUGCACGAAGGCUAGGGGAGCAAACGGG